rnacentral:lncRNA from 1 species
CAGAACGAUGAGAAAGAAGGCGCGACGGAGGCGUGGUCGAACGUCGAGAUCAACGGCGCGACGGAGGCUGAGUUCGAACGUCGAGAUCGACGGCCGGCGGACUGCGAACCUGAUGAACGAGGAAGCGAAGGGCGAGAUUGAACGAGAUAGAAAGCGAGAGUGCGAGAAAGAAGAUGAACAGUGCAAAAUCAAGAUGAACAGUGAGUGAAUGUUUUAAAAAACCUAAUCUGAUGCAUCCUUAAAACGUAGUCGUUUUCUGUUUUCGAUUUUUUUUUUCAAACUCGCGAAAUCGGAACCAAACUCGCGAUUUUAGGCUAGUUUAGCGAGUCAACAACCGAGUCUACCGAUCCUACUCUAAAAACGAGUUUGCUUACGAGUUAACUCGAAAGCAUAGUCUGAACUCGUAAACUCGACCGAGUUAACGAGUUAACUCGCGUUUUCGAUAACCUUGGGUGAGAGGCUGAGAGGUAAAGAAAAGUGUUUACCGCUUGAACUGUGGCGAAUGAGAACUGUGACGAGAGCCUUCGAUGAUGGAGACGAAAGAAACGUUCUCUUGAGGGUACGCAAAUGAGAAAUGUGGCGGAUGAAUGGUUGAAUGAACGACGAAUGGUAGAGAGUGAAGAAGAGAAGAAAAGAGGAAGAAAGUGAACGACGGUCUAUUAGGUCGAACGAGAGUGAGAGGGAAAUGGGAAAUGAGAGUGAGAGGGACGAAGUGAGAAGGACCGAGAGGGAAAUGAAAAAAAAAAAAAAAAAGAGAGAUACUACGACGAAUUUCUAAAUAUCAGUCAUAAGACAUUAAAAAUUUUAUGACAAGUGUCCACAAAACUAUGUCAUAAUAUGUCUUAAACUUAUUUACAAAUUUACCACCACGUUUCAUAUUAUGACGGAUAUAUAAAACUGCGUUAUAAUAUGACCUAUUAUGAUAGAUAAUUUUUAUCCGUCAUAAUAAGGUCGUCAUAAAAUGCUAUUUUUCUACUAGUGUAU